GGUAUUUUGACCGUGCAAAGGUAGCAUAAUCAUUAGUUUUUUAAUUGAAAGCUGGAAUGAAAGGUUGGAUGAAAAAUAAGCUGUCUCUAUUUAAUUUUAUUAGAAUUUUAUUUUUAAGUUAAAAAGCUUAAAUUUUAAUAGAAGACGAGAAGACCCUAUAGAGUUUUAUUUAUUUUUUAUAUAAGAUUAAUAGUAUAAAUUAUUUUUAUUUAAAAUAUAAAUUUAGUUGGGGUGAUUGAAAAAUUUGAUAAACUUUUUUUGCAUAUAAACAUUAAUUUAUGAUUAAUUGAUCCUUAAUUUAAGAUUAAAAGAUAAAAUUACCUUAGGGAUAACAGCGUAAUUUUUUUUGAGAGUUCAAAUCGAAAAAAAAGAUUGCGACCUCGAUGUUGGAUUAAAAUAAAAUUUUGGUGUAGAAGCUGAAA
rnacentral:rRNA from 1 species